AUACGCCCUCCGGGGGAAAGGUCUGCCGCUGAAAGAGGGGCCCGCGUCUGAUUAGUUUGUUGGUAGGGUAAAAGCCUACCAAGGCUACGAUCAGUAGCUGGUCUGAGAGGAUGAUCAUUCACACUGGGACUGAGACACGGUCCAGACUCCUACGGGAGGCAGCAGUCGGGAAUAUUGGACAAUGGAGGAAACUCUGAUCCAGAAAUGCCGCGUGUG
rnacentral:rRNA from 1 species